rnacentral:rRNA from 1 species
CCUACGGGGGGCAGCAGUGGGGGAUAUUGCACAAUGGGGGAAACCCUGAUGCAGCGACGCCGCGUGGGUGAAGAAGUAUUUCGGUAUGUAAAGCCCUAUCAGCAGGGAAGAAAGAAGACGGUACCUGACUAAGAAGCCCCGGCUAACUACGUGCCAGCAGCCGCGGUAAUACGUAGGGGGCGAGCGUUAUCCGGAUUCACUGGGUGUAAAGGGAGCGUAGACGGCCGUGCAAGCCAGGAGUGAAAGCCCGGGGCCCAGCCCCGGGACUGCUCUUGGAACUGUGCGGCUGGAGUGCGGGAGGGGCAGGCGGAAGUCCUGGUGUAGCGGUGAAAUGCGUAGAUAUCAGGAGGAACACCGGCGGCGAAGGCGGCCUGCUGGACCGCGACUGACGUUGAGGCUCGAAAGCGUGGGGAGCGAACAGGAUUAGAUACCCUUGUAGUC